AGCAGAGUGGCGCAGCGGAAGCGUGCUGGGGCCCAGAACCCAGAGGUCGAUUGGAUCGAAACCAUCCUCUCCUA
rnacentral:tRNA from 1 species